ACCAGGUCGUCGUCACUGUAUUCGAAUGGCAAGUGGAGUCGCUAAGCGGUAUAUACACACGGCGCCCCGACGGACGGCGUCGUUUCUAAACUAAAAUUCUACCGACGACUACGUCGAGCCACGACGACGAACCCGACGUCGACGGAGGGCGCAAGCGCUCGAGGGGGUUUUGGCAAUCGAUCGAGAAACUCCCCCUCGCCGUUGCCCCCGCUCUCCUCCCCACGUAUUCGGCCGCGGGGAAACUCAGAGAUUGUCUCGGGGUGAUGAGGAGUACUCGGACGCCGUGUACGGCCUCUUCUUCGACCACGAGGACGCCGGGCCUCGCGGUAAAAUACAAAAGGAGAACGAGAUUCACGGCUAUACCGAUGAUCAUACCGUAUUCCAAGCUCAGGAAUACGCAGCAGACGAUCGUCGCGGUCAGAGGGAUUAUAUCUACCUCUGAAAAAAAGGAAAGGCGGAGAAAAUAAAGUGAGAAAAUUGUUGCCGUCGAUUGAGCGAAUCGAGGAAAAAUUCAUUCGUUCGAAAGCGUUGGGAGCGAUCGAACCAGAUAAGGGAAUCGAAGUCUCGUCGACCGGAGUCGAUUAGUCGACAUCGGCAGAAUUCAAGCUACUCGGAGGAUCGGAUAAUUUUAAUAUACAUACGAAUCGAGGUCGAAGUCAGCAAUCCGCAGGCCAAAAGG